rnacentral:rRNA from 1 species
AGGUUCCAGACUUCCUAGGGGGAGGCAACAAGGGGGGAAAUAUAGGACAAAGGGCAAAAGCCUGAAUCCAGCCAAGGGGGGGAGUGUGAAGAGGUUUUUUGGGAUUGAAAAGCACUUAAAGUUGGGGGAAAGGGCCAUUAACUUAAUAAGUUAGUGUUUUGACGUUACCGGACGAAAUAAGCACCGGCUAACUUUGUGCCCGACGGCCGCGGUAUUACAGAGGGUGCAAGCAAUUAUUCGGAAUAAUUGGGCGUAAAGCGCGCGUAGGUGGUUCGUUAAGUAGGAUGUGAAAGCCCCGGGCUUCAACUGGGGAACUGCAUUCAAAACUGUCGAGCUAGAGUAUGGUAGAGGGUGGUGGAAUUUCCUGUGUAGCGGUGAAAUGGGUAGAUAUAGGAAGGAACACCAGUGGCGAAGGCGACCACCUGGAGUGAUACUGACAUUGAGGUGCGAAAGCGUGGGGAGCAAACAGGAUUAGAUACCAUGGUAGUCCACGCCGUAAACGAUGUCAACUAGCCGUUGGGAGCCUUGAGCUCUUAGUGGCGCAGUUAACGCAUUAAGUUGACCGCUUGGGGAGUACGGCGGCAAGGUUAAAACUCAAAUGAAUGACGGGGGGCAUGCACAAGCGGUGGAGCAUGCGGUUUAAUUAGAAGCAACGUGAAGAACCUUAGCAGGCCUGGACAUCCAAUGAACUUUCCAGAGAUGGAGUUGGUGCCUUCGAGAGCAUUGAGACAGGUGUGUGCAUGGCUGUCGUCAGGUCGUCUUGUGAGAUGUUGGGUUAAGUCCCGUAACGAGCGCAACCCUUGUCCUUAGUUACCAGCAAGUACAUGGUGCGCAUUCUAAGGAGACGUCCGGUGCCAUACCGGAGGAAGGCGGGUAAGUAGUCAAGUGAUCAUGGCCCCUACGGCCGGGGUUACACACGUGCUUCAAUGGUCGGUACAGAGGGUGGGCAAGCCGCGAGGUGGAGAUAAUCCCACAAAACCUAUCGUAGUCAGCAUUGCAGUCUGCAACUAGACAGUUGAAGUAAGAAUCGGUAGUUUCUUGAAUCAGAA